rnacentral:lncRNA from 1 species
AAAUAGAGCUGUUAAUCAUAAAUUGCCUUAAGACAGAGUGUUUCACGUCAACCAAAGCUAAACAAAACCACAGUGAAUCCAUACAACUCAAAAGUAUAUAAUAUCUGUUAACUUACCAUUUGGAAAACUCGAUACCUCUCUGUUGAGCCAAUCCUUCAGCCAAAACCUUUGGUAAACUUCCUCCACUAAGAGCUAAAGUGAACACGCCAUGCCUUUUAAUAGAAGCUUCACUUUUCUCUUUAACGAAUGCACCAAGUGCCUUUGCAACUAAACUAACGUCUGAAAAUGAGUAAACCGACAUUUUUUCUACUUGGUUCUGGUUUGCUUUCAGUAUUUGCGCAAUUGUUAGUAAUGGAGUAGUAUUAACGAAACAAGGUGGAGUGUCGUAAUUCAUUCGGUAGUCGGAAAUUUAGAACAGAACAAAUCUUAAAUCAGUUUUCGAGUAUAGUAAUGUACGAUUACGGCAUUAUCACGGCAAGGUAGCGGAGGUAUAGAAUAUAACCAUGAAGCAAGCAAUACGUCUGCAUCGCUGGGAUUAGAUAAAGAAGCUCGACCUUCUCUGCAUUUUUGUUUAAAUAAAUGAACCAAAUGAUAUUGAGAAAGGAAUUAAAUGAAGAAUAUACAGAUGGGCGCUGGUAGCUUUUCAAUAUCUUUCAAUCGAGUUCAAACGUUUAACCAUUUCCUAAUCAUUAAGAUUGUUUAUAGAUGUAGCUAACAAAGGCCGCAAAUUAGUCAUGAUUGAAACAUGAAAAAUCAGGUAACCCAAUUUAAGAGAACAUGUGUUCUAUUUUAUCCAAAUAGCUACAGUAGUUGUUUGAUAAAGCUGUUUGAAAAUGCGCAUUGUGGAUAAAAAGACACAAGAGCAUGAAAACGAAGAAGAAAACUCAAAUAAAAUUCAUUAAAUCACAUUUUACUGACAAGAUGAUUGUUUCCUUUCAUUUCAUGAGGAAGUUUCUGAACAAGAAAGGAAACACUUAAGCUUCCGUUUUCCAGUUCUCACACUUUUUAAUUAUAUAGAAAACAAAUCUGAUAAAAAUUCAAAUUGAUCGUCCUUACGUACAACGUCCUCAACGUCCCUGUAUCGUAUUCCUUUACGUUUUUGUAAUUUGGCAAGUUGAUAAGCCUCUGUUGCUAACUUUUCAACAAAUAAUUCCUAAAUCAUAAAAUAGGUAAGCUUUUAUUUUUCUUUUUCUUUUAUGCAAUCAAAAUGGUGCUAAGUCGCCCAGAUAGCUGAUUUAUCAACAACACACAUACAGUAGCUACUGAAAUUAACAAAGCAGAUGCAUUAGAACAGUAGUGUACGUCUUCAUCUUGCUUUAUUAUCCUCUUUACUCUGCUCAAUGGCAAUACAGUUUUCCCAUAUGUUUUCUCCAUGAAUCAAUCCUAUCGACCGAAACAAUUUAAAGGACUGGAAAAAAGCAAUUAUACCCUUAAACUAUAAGGUUCUAAUAUAAAAUAACCCAAAAUCUCUAGUGCUAUAAAAAAUUAUAGCCUUCUGAUUUCUGACUUUUAGUGUGUUGUUGUCAAAAUACGAAGUACUCUCGCGUCGCGACCUAAUAAUAAACAUACUUACUUUACCACUAGAACCUUACAUUGUUGUUUAACUUGAAACAUAAAUAUUUUUAACU